rnacentral:lncRNA from 10 species
GGGCAGCAGUCUCAGCUCACUGCAACCUCCACCUCCUGGGCUGAAGCGAUCCACCUACCUCAGCCUCCCAAAAUGCUGGGAUUACAGGCACGUCUUCCAUGUAUGCACCUUUUCCACCAAGUGUGUGUUGACCAAUGGUUGAUUACCAAUAAGAAGUGCCCCAUAUGCAGAGUGGACAUUGAGGCCCAGCUGCCAAGUGAAAGUUGACACCAUGUUUCAGAACUCUUGCCCUCCCUCUCAUUCCCAUCCUUCCUGGUACUGCAGUCAACCAAAGAUGGCAUGACUUACCUGCGCAGAUUUGGAAGCAUUGAACUUAGAGUGCUGGCUCUGCUAUAUGGUACAACUAAUGCUAGACCUACAGUUUAUGUAUACAGUUGAUUUUGAUGUAUUUAUAAAAGCUUUUUUUUCUAGAUUUGACAUUUUUCUGUAUCAUUUUACUGUAUUUUUGCAUGGUUCCUUGUAUUGCAUUUCUUUGCACAUAUUAUGGGCUUGUGACCCUAAACUUGCAGGCAAGGUUAGCUGCUUUAGUAAGUAGAAUUUUGUGGUCUUUUUGUUUUUUACAUAGUACCAAGCCUUGAUAAUUAUGAAUUUUUUAUCCAUUACUAACCUUUAAUUUAAUCAAUCAUGUACUUUAGUUUAAUGUAUAAAGAUCCUCUAGAAAAUGAUAAUAUUGUGUAUUAAGACAUUCCUUAAUUAGGACAAAAUGGCUGCUGUAUAUUUACUAUAUGGAGUUCUGAGUUAAAUACCAUCCUUAAUACUGGGAACAGAAUACAACCCAUAUAAAUCAGAUGCAGGUGGUAGUCACAUCACCAGAGUGA